CGCCUCCCCGCCCACCCUGCACCCUCCGCACCGCCUGCCGCGCUACGCGAGCCCGGGGAUGCAGGCCGGGCCUGGCUUACCUUUCCAGCUGCUUUUUUUUCCCUCCUCUCUCUCCUCUCCCCCCUUUCCCUCUGUUGGGCUGACAGAUCAGAGUUUCCUCCCCAGCAGAGGGACUGGGAAUGUGCUCGGGCUCUGUGCUGAGGAGCUGCUGCCCCCCUGUCUCUGAGAAGAUCCUGCUUUUUGUGGGGAGGAAGCUUUGGGGGCUCUUUAUUAUUUUAAAACUACAAAGUGCUCAGAGGGUAGGUGAUUAUUAAGGGGAAUCCCUGAAUAUAUUCUCCAGCAAAGAAGGCAGGGCUGCUGGGGCUGCUCAAGAAGAGAGCCAGCAGCCUCCUAUAGCACCACUACAGGCACCGAGAGGACAUAACAUCAGAGAGCGGCUCCACUGCCCUCCAAAACAACAACUUUCCUACCAUCUUGGAGGUAGUAGAGAGGGAGAGAGGGAGGGGGAAAAAAGUACAGAAGGUUUUUAUAAAGUGACAAUUUAGAGGAGGAAGCCAGAUGGCCAAAACAAAAUAUUUUUUCAUUUGUGUGACUUUUUAUUUUAAAUAAAAAUGAAAUAUAAAGGCUCGUGGCUGAAGAUUUUUUUAAAAUAACCUGUAAAGAGCAGCUCUCUGGAAAAAAAAAUUUAAAAGUCUUAGUAAACAGCUGAGAUUGAUGUUGGAUAGUUUGGCGUAACUGUACCAUAACGUCUUUCUCUCUCUGAAGGCAUUGUAAAUCAAAUUGGAUAUACAGAUACUGACUUUAAUCGGAUUACUUGCCUGCCUAAAUUUGAGCAUGCAUCAUAGUAGUGCGCAUAUUUUGGUGACAUCCUGAGAUCUGUUUGAUGCAUUUUAAUUAUGAAACCAGAAGCUUAAUGCCAAGCAAAAGGAGAAACAUUUUGAAUCUGGAAGUUUGGAAUAGGAAAAUUUGAAAUGGGAUGCUUUUGGUAUCUUGUACAAAAAAAAAUUCAAUCUUUUUUAAGGAGGAGAAAGUAAAGAGGAAAUUUUUGCCAAAUCUUGGUUGUGUGGACUAUUGUGUAGUCAUUCAACAGAGAAAUGAAAAUUUGUACUUUAUGAAUAGGUAAGUUUAUUUAACAAAACUUUAUUUACCUGAAAAUAAUUUGCUUUUCACUGAUUUACUAAGAGAUGCAAAUAUCAUUUUAAUUGUUUUGCUGAAAAUAAGAUGUUACAUGUAACAACCUAAAGGAGCAGUCUGCUAGCUUUAGUAAUGUAGAAUGAAAUUAUUUUUAAAAAAAGAUUUGCUUAUCUUAAUGGAGAAGACUCCUUAGUUGGGACAUAGAUUAUUUUGAUGGGUAGAGCAGUGCUCAGAAAUUACACUGGAGAACAAAUUGGACUCUGAAACUUCUGUACAAGGACAAUGUGUAAACCUAAAGCACAAAAGGUCCCCUGUCCAGCAUUCAGAAUUGUGUUCUGGAACUUCCAUUUCUUCAGAAUGGGUCUGUCUGCCUCGAUUUAAAUCGGCCUCGCCCCUGGACCAACUGCUCCAAACUCCCUGUACACUUGGGCACAGAGUGGUCAGAGAACAUUAAAGUUCUGUAAAUCACAGCCUUGUGGCUAAUGGGGCAUUCUGUGCCCAUGUGUCUCACUGGUGUUCGGAAUGAGACAGAGGGCAGUGACGCAGAGAAUAAGCUUUGUGAGUCUAAUAAAGCAAUGAAAGAGGUGCUUUAGGCUGUACACCAGUGCCUGCAGGAGGCUGCAUCAAGAAAUGAACCUUGACUCUCUCCCAAGGUCGUGCGCACCCUGAGCGCAGACCUCAAGAAUUUUUGGAGCAUGACUUAGGCUCUGUGCGUGUGAUGAAGACUCUUGGGUUUUCCACAAGUAGUGUUAUAAUGUUGGCAUCUUGGUAUUACUUUUUGAAAGACACAUACUGAGGAAACAGUUCCAAUGUCUUCAAAUGCUUGUGAAAGAGAUUAGCAAUUUAUUUAAAAGCAGGUGAAUGUUGUGAAGGGGAAGAACAACUCUAAGUGUAUUAGAUGUUAAUUCAAGAUUUUCAUAUCAGAAGAGCCACAUUUGUAUAGAAGAUCUUGUCUUUAGGCAUUUAAAGACUGAAAAGGGUGAGAAAUUAAAUAACCCCAAAAUUAUGAUAUAUUCUUCUAAGCAAUGUCUUGAGCAGCUGUGAUGUGGUAUUAGUUGGUGUAAUAGUGGCAAGUUCUGGGGUAAAGCUAACCAUUAAAUCCCAACAUAUCACUAUUAUGGAAAAAUGCUUAUUUUUCAACAAUUCUUUAACAUGGAAAUUUUAUAGCAGUGGUUGAAUCUGAGUUUCAGUUACUCUGCUGUAGUUGUAUGUUUUUGAUAACCAGCAUGCUUUUUGCCACUUUUCCAAACCGCAGAGUUCUUAUGUCAAAAACCCUGUCUAUGAUCUGAGGAUUUUUCUCUAGGAAAUAUACCCCAGUUAUGGCAUAAAUUGAGCUCCUUAAUUCAGCUACUAAACUCUUUCAAACCCGUGCUUCAGUGCACUCCUGCGUGGCAGAUAGCACAGCAGAAGCUACAGGACAAGCCAUAUGUACAACAGGGUAACUUUGCCUGAUUGUGUUUAAAGCCCCAAAUGCCAGCAAAGCAGCACGAAGUACACAUGACCAGCCUUGUUUUCCUGAGUCUUGGGGACUUCGUUAAAGCUUUUUUCAGCAAUGGGAGUUUUGCUGUGGGUUUCAGUAGGAGUAUAGCUGCAGAAGUAUUUAACCAAUUGGGAGCAGAUGUAUGCUAGCUAUUACAUGAUAAUAUAAUUAAUUGAUAGUGAACUGUACUGAAAAUGGUAAUUAACUGAGACUUCACUAAUCUGCUCUUCAUUAGCAAUGUGUAUUUUAAUCUGCAUUAAAUAAAUGGUAUUGUCUUCCUAAAGCUCAGCAAAGACAAAGCAGUAAGACUUAAUUGUGGGAAGAUUGUCCAGAGUAUGUUAGGCAUCUGUGGAGACAUCUUUAAAUAGAGGACAAAUGAAUGGAAUAAGCUGUCCCAGCAGAAUGCUCUAAUACCAACCCAUUUUACUGGGAAGCCCUCUGUUAAUUCAAAGUAUACUAUUGUAUUUUUACUAUCUGCUUCUGUCUAUAGAUAUUUCAUUAACUGUAAGUGUAGUGGUUAAAAAGCUCCACACUUUAUCACCAGUCCUCUCUGCUAUUAGUCCAGUUACUCAUUUACAUUCGGGUUGCACAGGAUCUUGGUCACCAGUGCAAGCUGGAAAGAUGAGAAUUCCCACUCUGGACCAACUCAACAGUCUCUUAAGUCUUCUGAGAGUAGCUUCCAACAAAGCUACUCACAGGAAUAUGCUGUGAUGCAUAAUUGAGAAAUAAAGAACAGACGGGCCAGGAUUUUUCUAAAAUAGUUGGAGCUGAGCUAACAUCAAAGCAUAAGGCUUAAUUAGUGUCUAAGGUCAUGGGAUUCCAGUGGAUUUUAAAAGUGAUUUGUUUCACAUGAAGUUUUUUGCUCUCAGUGUAUUUCUUUUUCUACGUGGUUCUCAUCUCUGAUCCAUUUCACAUAAACAUAAACACAGGUGUACAGAUGAUGACAAGAAGAAAUAAAACUAUUUCCUUGAAAUAUUAGUUAAUUAUAUUCAAAAUUCAGCAUUGGCUGAGUGAGGAGAUGUCUUUACUGCUUAUGCCUCUAAAUCUCAGUAGGCUUCUCAGCGUUAGUCACUGUAGAUAGAUGUGUAUGUGUAGCUGGAGGAAAACAUAAUUAACAGUGUUUAGCGUAGCAGGCUUUGCUGAUUAUGGAAUCACUCAUUUUGUUUGAAUUACAAGGUUUUAUAUAUGUUCUUUAUGUCUCUCUGUGUCAUUUUUCUGCGGUGCUGUGCUACGGCGAGUUGGAGUAAUCUGGGUACUCUCAGAUACUUUGCUGACAUCAUUCCAUCAACUAAUAUGUGUUACUAUAAAGUGUCUAGUGGAUAAAACCUUACACAACAGACAGGACUAUGACUUUAUGAGCCAACACACAAGUGAAGGAUUUGGUGCUCAUUUCUGAACUAAGUUUUCCUCGUGACUCUCUGUAAACUUCAGUGUUUUGUUCACAAAGGCACUUGUGCCCAUUUGGCAUUUUAUGAAUAAUAAUAAUAAUCUGUUAACAUCUGUUAAUAAAUUGAAAAUGGUGUGUA